rnacentral:rRNA from 1 species
GAUGAACGCUGGCGGCGUGCCUAAUACAUGCAAGUCGAGCGAACAGACGAGGAGCUUGCUCCUCUGACGUUAGCGGCGGACGGGUGAGUAACACGUGGAUAACCUACCUAUAAGACUGGGAUAACUUCGGGAAACCGGAGCUAAUACCGGAUAAUAUAUUGAACCGCAUGGUUCAAUAGUGAAAGACGGUUUUGCUGUCACUUAUAGAUGGAUCCGCGCCGCAUUAGCUAGUUGGUAAGGUAACGGCUUACCAAGGCGACGAUGCGUAGCCGACCUGAGAGGGUGAUCGGCCACACUGGAACUGAGACACGGUCCAGACUCCUACGGGAGGCAGCAGCAGGGAAUCUUCCGCAAUGGGCGAAAGCUUGACGGAGCAACGCCGCGUGAGUGAUGAAGGUCUUCGGAUCGUAAAACUCUGUUAUUAGGGAAGAACAAAUGUGUAAGUAACUAUGCACGUCUUGACGGUACCUAAUCAGAAAGCCACGGCUAACUACGUG